rnacentral:lncRNA from 1 species
GCCUAAAAUGUAUGAUCCUUUGUUAAAUGGACUAUAUCGAGGAACAAUAAAAAGGGGGUUUCAUCUUCAAUCAUAAACAAUACUUUGCUAGAAAAUUGGGAAAAGAGAGUUAGACUAAAUAGGAUUCAUACUAUCUUUCUUCCGAAUAUUGAUUACCAAGAAUUUGAACAAAAAGCGUAUACGAUUGAUAAAAAACCAUUAUCAACAGAAAUUGACGAGUUCUUAACUUUAAUCAAUGAAUUAGGUAACGAAGCAAAAUCGAGUUUAAAUUUGAAGGGUCUUUCUUUAUUUUCAGACCAAGAACAGAGAAGAGCGAAUUCAGAAAAAAGAACGAAAUUUGUCAAAUUUGUAUUCAAUGCAAUUGAUCCUAAUGAGACAAAAUCGGGAAAAAAAUCGAUUGGAAUAAAAGAAAUCAGUAAAAAAGUACCUCGCUGGUCCCAUAAAUUAAUCACCGAAUUGGACCAACAAAUGGGUGAAUUUAAAGAUCGCGCAUCAAUGGAUCAUCAACUUCGUUCAAGAAAAGCCAAACGUGUAGUUAUUUUUACUGACAACAAGGCGACUAAGGAUGCUGAGGAGGAAGUGGCUUUAAUAAGCUAUUCGCAACAAUCAGAUUUUCGGCGAGGUAUAAUUACAGGCUCUAUGCGGGCUCAAAGGCGCAAAACAUUUAUUUCGAAACUAUUUCAAGCAAAUGUACAUUCCCCCCUUUUUGUCGACAGAAUAACCCCCCUACGUCUUUUUUCUUUUGAUAUCUCUGAACUAAUUAAACCAAUUUUGAAAAAUUGGACAGAUAAAGAGGGAGAAUUCAAGAUUCUAGAGUCUAGAGAAGAACAAACAAAAAGAGAAGAGAAAAAAGAAAAGGACAAAAAGAGGAUAACAAAAGAAAGGAACAGGCACGGAUAGCGAUCGAAGAAGCCUGGGAUACCAUUCCUUUGGCACAAAUAAUAAGAGGUUACAUGUUAAUAACUCAAUCAAUUCUUCGAAAAUAUAUUCUAUUACCUGCAUUGAUAAUAGCCAAAAAUAUCGGGCGUAUGUUAUUCUUGCAACUUCCUGAAUGGUCUGAAGAUUUACAGGAAUGGAAUAGAGAAAUGCAGAUUAAAUGUACUUAUAAUGGUGUUCAAUUAUCAGAAACAGAAUUUCCCAAAAAUUGGUUAAGAGACGGGAUUCAGAUCAAAAUUUUAUUUCCUUUUUGUCUGAAACCUUGGCAUAUAUCUAAACUGUACCCCUCCCGCAGAGAGCUAAUGAAAAAGCAAAAACAAAAAGAUGAUUUUUGUUUUUUAACAGUUUGGGGAAUGGAAGCUGAACUUCCCUUUGGUUCUCCCCGAAAGCGACCUUCAUUUUUUGAGCCCAUUUUUAAGGAACUCGAAAAAAAAAUUGGAAAAUUCAAAAAGAAAUAUUUUCUAACUCUAAAAAUUUUAAAAGGAAAAACAAAAUUAUUUAGAAGAGUUUCAAAAGAAACCACAAAAUUGUUUAUCAAAAGUAUUGGAUUUCUAAAAAAAAUAAAAAAAGAACUUUCAAAAGUAAAUCUAAUUGUAUUAUUUAGAUUCAAAGAAAUAUCUGAAUCCAAUGAAACAAAAAAAGAAAAAGAUUAUCUAAUUAGUAAUCAAAUAAUUAACGAAUCAUUUCGUCAAAUUGAAUCUGGAAAUUGGCCAAAUUCUUCACUGAUAGAAACAAAAAUGAAGGAUUUGACUGAUAGAACAAGUACAAUCAAAAAUAAAAUAGAAAGAAUUACAAAAGAGAAAAAGAAAGUAACUCCAGAAAUAGACAUUAAUCCUAAUAAAACAAAUAAUAUUAAAAAAUUCGAAUCGCCAAAAAAAAUUUUCCAAAUAUUAAAAAGCAGAAAUACUCGAGUAAUAUGGAAAUUCCAUUAUUUUCUAAAAUUAUUCAUUCAAAGAUUAUACAUCAAUUUAUUUUUAUCUAUCAUUAAUAUUCCUAGAAUUACUACACAACUCUUUCUUAAAUCAACAAACAAAUUGAUUGAGAAAUUCAUCUCCAAUAAUGAAAUAAAUCAAGAAAAAAUUAAUAAUAAAAAAAAAAUUCACUUUAUGUUUAUUUCGACUAUAAAAAAGUCACUUUAUAAUAUUAGUAAGAAAAAUUCACAUAUUUUGUGUGAUUUAUCCUACUUGUCACAAGCAUAUGUAUUUUACAAAUUAUCACAAACCCAAGUUAUUAAUUUUUCUAAAUUUAGAUCUGUUCUUCAAUAUAACACAACGUCUUGUUUCCUUAAGACUAAAAUAAAGGACUAUUUUAAAACACUAGGAAUAUUUCAUUCGGAAUUAAAAGAUAAGAAACUUCAGAGUUAUAGAAUAAAUCAAUGGAAAAACUGGUUAAGAUGGCAUUAUCAAUACGAUUUAUCUCAGAUUAGAUGGUCUAGAUUAAUGCCAAAAAAAUGGCGAACUAGGGUUAAUCAAAGUUGUAUGGCUCAAAAUAAAAAUAGAAACUUAAACAAAUGGAAUUCAUAUGAAAAAGACCAAUUACUUCAUUACAAAAAAGAAAAUGAUUCGGAACUCUAUUCAUUAUCAAACGAAAAAGAUAAUUUUAAAAAAUGUUAUGGAUAUGGUCUUUUAGCAUAUAAAUCGAUUAAUUAUGAAAAUAAAAGUGACUCAUUUUUUUCUAGAUUACCCUUUGAAGUUCAAGUAAAGAAGAACUUAGAAAUUUCGUAUAAUUCCAACACGUCCAAACACAACUUUGUUGAUAUGCCCGGCAAUCUUCAUAUCAAUAAUUAUCUAAGAAAGGGCAAUAUUCUAGAUAGAGAAAGAAAUCUCGAUAGAAAAUAUUUUGAUUGGAAAAUUAUCCAUUUUUCUCUUAGACAAAAAGGAGAUAUUGAAGCCUGGGUUAAGAUCGAUACCAACAGUAAUCCAAAUACUAAAAUUGGUAUUAAUAAUUAUCAAAUAAUUGAUAAAAUUGAGAAAAAGGGGGUUUUUUAUCUUACAACUCAUCAACAUCCAGAAAAAACUCAAAAAAAUUCGAAAAAAGUCUUUUUUGAUUGGAUGGGAAUGAAUGAAAAAAUAUUUAAUCGUCCCAUAUUGAAUCUGGAAUUUUGGUUCUUCCCAGAAUUUGUACUACUUUAUAAUGUCUAUAAAAUAAAACCGUGGAUUAUACCAAGCAAAUUCCUUCUUUUUAAUUUGAAUACAAAUAAAAAUGUUAGUCAAAAUAAAAACCAAAACUUUUUUCUACCAUCAAAUAAAAAAAUAAAAAUAAAGAAUCGAAGUCAAGAAGCAAAAGAACCCCCAAGUCAAAGAGAGCGUGGAUCAGAUAUAGAAAACAAAGGAAAUCUGAGCCCUGUUUUUUCAAAACAUCAAACCGAUCUUGAAAAAGAUUACGUGGAAUCAGACACAAAAAAGGGUAAAAAUAAAAAACAAUACAAAAGCAACACGGAAGCAGAACUAGAUUUGUUCUUGAAACGUUAUUUGCUUUUUCAAUUGAGAUGGAACGGUGCUUUGAAUCAAAGAAUGUUCGAAAAUAUCAAGGUAUAUUGUCUCCUGCUUCGACUGAUAAAUCCAACCAAAAUUACUAUAUCGUCAAUUCAAAGGAGAGAAAUGAGUUUGGAUAUAAUGCUGAUUCAGGCAAAUUUACCUCUUACAGACUUGAUGAAGAAGGGGGUAUUGAUUAUCGAACCUAUUCGGUUGUCUGUAAAAGAUAAUGGACAAUUUAUUAUGUAUCAAACCAUAGGUAUUUCAUUGGUUCAUAAAAGUAAACACCAAACUAAUCAAAGAUACCGAGAACAAAGAUAUGUUGAUAAAAAGAAUUUUGACGAAUUCAUUCUGCAACCUCAAACUCAAAGAAUAAAUACAGAAAAAACUCAUUUUGGUUUGCUUGUUCCUGAAAAUAUUUUAUGGUCUAGACGUCGUAGAGAGUUGAGAAUUCGAAGUUUUUUUAAUUCUUGGAAUUGGAAUGUCGUCGAUAGAAAUUCAGUAUUUUGCAACGAAACCAAUGUAAAAAACUGGAGUCAAUUUUUGGGUGAACGGAAACCCCUUUAUAAAGAUAAAAAUGAAUUAAUUAAAUUUAAGUUCUUUUUUUGGCCUAAUUAUCGAUUAGAAGAUUUAGCUUGUAUGAAUCGUUAUUGGUUUGAUACCAAUAAUGGUAGCCGUUUCAGUAUCUUAAGGAUACAUAUGUAUCCACGAUUGAAAAUUAAUUGAUAGUACUAUAUACCCUGUCUCGUAUAGAGUAUCUGAAAGCAAAUAAAUGCAAACAUGCCUUGUUUUACAUCUCAUUCGAAUCUAAUUCGAGUAGACAAUACUAAAUCAAUAAAAUAAGGUAUUGAUUAGAUCUAGAAAUGAAUCAACAGAAUCUUCUUCAUUUUAGGAUUUUAGGUUUCAAUUAUUCGCUUUUGUGAUUAAAAAAAACGUACCUACCGUCUUUUUGGAUUCCUAUCUGAAUCAAAUUUGAAAUUUGAUUAAUUUAUUGGAAUUGCUAAAAUUAGAGGUUCAUAAAGAAAUUAAGUCUAUAUACCACGUUUAAAUUACUGGCAUUAUUAUUACUGAUCAAUAAAAUUCGAAAAAAUCCAUAUCUGUAAAAUAAAGAAAGGGGAAAUUCAUUUAUGGUAAAAAAUUCUGUCAUUUCAGUUAUUUCUCAAGAAGAAAAGAAAGGAUCUGUUGAAUUUCAAGUAUUCAAUUUCACCAAUAAGAUACGAAGACUUACUUCACAUUUAGAAUUGCACAAAAAAGACUAUUUAUCUCAGAGAGGUUUGAAGAAAAUUUUGGGAAAACGUCAACGACUGCUAGCUUAUUUGGCAAAAAAAAAUAGAGUACGUUAUAAAGAAUUAAUUAAUCGGUUGGACAUUCGAGAGACAAAAACUCGUUAAUUUGAUUAAUUUGAAGAGUUAUUUCAUUUUCACUUAUAUGUUUCGAUUAAAUUUUGAUGAACUUCUUUUCACUUUCAGUAAUUCAUGGAAGAAUGAAUCGUUAAAAAACUUAUGACUGCACCAACUACAAGAAAAGACCUCAUGAUAGUCAAUAUGGGGCCUCAGCACCCAUCAAUGCACGGUGUUCUUCGACUCAUCGUUACUCUAGAUGGUGAAGAUGUUGUCGACUGCGAACCAAUAUUGGGUUAUUUACAUAGAGGGAUGGAGAAAAUUGCGGAAAACCGAACAAUUAUACAAUAUUUGCCUUAUGUAACACGUUGGGAUUAUUUAGCUACUAUGUUCACAGAAGCAAUAACCAUAAAUGGACCCGAACAAUUAGGCAAUAUUCAAGUACCUAAAAGGGCUAGCUAUAUCAGAGUCAUUAUGUUGGAGUUGAGUCGGAUAGCUUCUCAUUUGUUAUGGCUCGGUCCUUUUAUGGCGGAUAUUGGUGCACAGACCCCUUUCUUCUAUAUUUUUAGAGAAAGAGAAUUGAUAUAUGACCUAUUCGAAGCUGCCACCGGUAUGCGAAUGAUGCAUAAUUAUUUUAGGAUUGGAGGAGUGGCUGCCGAUCUACCCUAUGGCUGGAUAGAUAAAUGUUUGGAUUUUUGCGAUUAUUUUUUAACAGGGGUUGCUGAGUAUCAAAAACUUAUUACUCGGAAUCCUAUUUUUUUAGAACGAGUUGAAGGCGUAGGCAUUAUUGGGAGAGACGAGGCAUUAAAUUGGGGUUUAUCGGGACCAAUGCUACGAGCUUCCGGAAUAGAAUGGGAUCUUCGUAAAGUUGAUCAUUAUGAGUCUUACGACGAAUUUGAUUGGCAGGUUCAAUGGCAACGAGAAGGGGAUUCAUUAGCUCGUUAUUUAGUACGAAUCGGUGAAAUGACAGAAUCCAUAAAGAUUAUUCAACAGGCUCUGGAAGGAAUUCCAGGGGGCCUUACGAAAAUUUAGAAAUGCGACGUUUUGACAGAUUAAAAGAUCCUGAAUGGAAUGAUUUUGAAUAUCGGUUUAUUAGUAAAAAGCCUUCUCCAACUUUUGAAUUGUCGAAACAAGAACUUUAUGUGAGAGUUGAAGCCCCAAAAGGAGAAUUGGGGAUUUUUCUGAUAGGAGAUCAGAGCGUUUUUCCUUGGAGAUGGAAAAUUCGCCCACCAGGUUUUAUCAAUUUGCAAAUUCUUCCUCAGUUAGUUAAAAGAAUGAAAUUGGCUGAUAUUAUGACAAUACUAGGUAGCAUAGAUAUCAUUAUGGGAGAAGUUGAUCGUUGAAAUGAUAAUUGAUACAACAGAAAUAGAGACUAUCAAUUCUUUUUCCAAAUUGGAAUCCUUAAAAGAAGUCUAUGGGAUCAUAUGGAUGCUUGUCCCUAUUGUGACUCUUGUAUUAGGAAUCACAAUAGGUGUACUAGUAAUUGUUUGGUUAGAAAGAGAAAUAUCUGCAGGAAUACAACAACGUAUUGGGCCUGAAUAUGCCGGCCCGUUAGGAAUUCUUCAAGCUCUAGCAGAUGGGACAAAACUACUUUUGAAAGAGAACCUUAUUCCAUCUACAGGAGAUACUCGUUUAUUCAGUAUCGGACCAUCCAUAGCAGUAAUAUCUAUCUUUCUAAGUUAUUCAGUAAUUCCUUUUGGUGAUCACCUUGUUCUAGCCGAUCUUAGUAUUGGUGUUUUUUUUUGGAUUGCCAUUUCAAGUAUUGCUCCCGUUGGACUUCUUAUGUCGGGGUAUGGAUCAAAUAAUAAAUAUUCCUUUUUAGGUGGUCUACGGGCAGCUGCUCAAUCAAUUAGUUAUGAAAUACCAUUAGCUCUAUGUGUGUUAUCAAUAUCUCUACGUGUGAUUCGGUGAGACCUAAAAUUUAUCCAAAUUCUUUUCUUUCUAGAAACAAGGAUAAAAAGAUUUGAUUGAUUAUAUAUAUUUUUUUUCUUCAGCAUUUGAGUUGAUGAACUAAAUCAGAUAGUUAUAUGAGUGAAAGAAAACGGCUUCUAAAUUUGCAGUAAAAAAGUUGAGUCUCAUUUCCUAUGUACAAGAAUCAAAUGGUGAAAAAAGUAAACAUAAGCAAGAGAGAUUGUUUACCCCAAGAUUCGUGAAUUGUCAUGAUAGCUUGAAGCGGGUUCAAAAGACCAACUCUAUGGAGUUUUUACUGUCUAUUACCAUAGAUGGAUUUCCACAACGGGAGGUUUUUGAAACAAAAAAUGAGUGGAUGGUUAGGAAGACUAAGAUACACAAAGGAUUAGUAAUUGAGAUUAUGUAAGUUAUCCAAGAGGAUAUUUCUGUACAUAAAAGGAAUUCAAAUUGGGGCUUUACGUUCGUAGAAAUGAUCAAGAAGUACUCCCCAUGAUUCUGAUCCAGAGUAUGUUCCUAUCCACUGAGUAAGUAACUAACUAUCAAGAACGAAGUAAUCUUUUACUUUGGUUAAAGACCCUUUUUCUGAGAAAGGAGAAUAGGAAUGAAAUAAAAAAAUCGAAAUAGAAAGAAAAGAAGCUAAUUGCAAAAGGAAAAAGGAGGGAUGUCUUUUUUUGUUUUUAUUCUUUCUUUCCUAUAAUUCAAUUUUUAUUUCUAUUUAGAGAGAUAAAAUUUUUGUCAUGAUUCAUGAACUAAUGUACUCUCUAAUUUUUUUCGUAAUUGAAAAUUCGAGGUUGAAAUGUAUAUGUGAUAUUGCUAUAAAGCACAUUUUUUUAUUUAAUGAUAAGGUUAUUAAUCAACAAAGAAAAAUUAAAAUUCUUAAAAGAUGAGAUAAAUUCAGAAGCACUUAUUUAUUAGUUUUAAAUAUAGCAGACAGAAUUCCAUUGGUCUAAUUUGGGACCUUAGAAUAGAUUUUGACUCUAUCUGACAAACAUAUCAAGAUAAAGAAUAGGAAAGGGCCCUUAGAUUUAGUUGUGACCUCUGAGGAGCCGUAUGAGGUGAAAAUCUCACGUACGGUUCUGUAAUAGCGAUGGGCACAGUGAUGUUAUCAUCGACUAUGAUUAUCUAACAGUUUAAGUACAGUUGAUAUAGUGGAAGCGCAGUCAAAAUAUGGUUUUUGGGGGUGGAAUUUGUGGCGUCAACCCAUCGGGUUUAUCGUUUUUCUAAUUUCUUCUCUCGCCGAGUGUGAAAGAUUACCUUUUGAUUUACCAGAAGCAGAAGAAGAAUUAGUAGCAGGGUAUCAAACCGAAUAUUCUGGUAUCAAAUUUGGUUUAUUUUACAUUGCUUCAUAUCUGAAUCUACUAGUUUCUUCAUUAUUUGUAACAGUUCUUUACUUGGGAGGUUGGAAUCUUUCUAUUCCGUACAUAUUUGUUCCUGAUAUAUUUGGCAUAAAUAAAGGAGGUAAAGUCUUUGGAACACUAAUUGGUAUCUUUAUCACAUUAGCCAAAACUUAUUUGUUUUUGUUCAUUCCCAUUGCAACAAGAUGGACUUUACCGAGGCUGAGAAUGGACCAACUAUUAAAUCUUGGGUGGAAAUUUCUUUUACCGAUUUCUCUAGGUAAUCUAUUAUUGACAACCUCGUCCCAACUUCUUUCACUGUAAAAGACCACAAUAUCCUAGAUUCACGACUUGUCUCAAACAAGAGAAAGAAACAAGCAUAAAAUCUUUUUUAUAGAUAUUCAACAUAUGCUCCCUAUGAUAACUGAAUUCAUAAAUUAUGGUCAACAAACAAUACGAGCCGCCAGAUAUAUCGGCCAAGGUUUCAUGAUUACCCUGUCCCACGCAAAUCGUUUACCUGUAACUAUUCAAUACCCCUACGAAAAAUUGAUCACAUCGGAACGUUUCCGAGGCCGAAUACACUUUGAAUUUGAUAAAUGCAUUGCUUGUGAAGUAUGUGUGCGUGUAUGUCCUAUAGAUUUACCCGUUGUUGAUUGGAAGUUGGAAACUGAUAUUCGAAAGAAACGAUUGCUUAAUUACAGUAUUGAUUUUGGAAUCUGUAUAUUUUGUGGUAAUUGCGUUGAGUAUUGCCCAACAAAUUGUUUAUCAAUGACCGAAGAAUAUGAACUUUCUACUUAUGAUCGUCACGAAUUGAAUUAUAAUCAAAUCGCUUUGGGUCGCUUACCAAUGUCAGUAAUUGAUGAUUACACAAUUCGAACAAUUUCGAAUUUACCUCAAAUAAACAAUGAAUAAACCCUUAAUUUGAUUCAAAAAAAUUACAAAUUACGAAGGCUUAGUUCGGAUCUAAAACAAUGAGAUUUUUGCUUGGGCAAUUCAAACUAGUGGUUUCUUAAUGAGACUCCUAGCUUAAGCUUAAUUUAGAUUGAAAACAAAACCGAGUUCAAUAUUAUAUAUUAUAAUAGUAAUGGUUUCAAAGUAGAUAAAUGAUAUCAAAAAUAGAUAGGUUUAAACUCCUCUUUCGACGAAUAAAGAAUGGAUAGUGGUCCAAUAAAAUAAAAGCAUCUACGUCAAUUCAUACCCAUUAGACUUUCAUUCAAUUAACAAUUUCAAAGUAUCAUAAAAAAUAGAAAAACUGCUUUUUUCCUGGUCAGGUCAAUAAAGUCAUGAAAUUCUUCGUUUUUGAUUUUUUAUAAAAAAUGGAUUUAUCUGAACCAAUACAUGAUUUUCUUUUAGUCUUUCUAGGAUCGGGUCUUAUAUUAGGGGGUCUAGGAGUGGUAUUACUUCCCAAUCCAAUUUAUUCGGCCUUUUCCUUGGGAUUGGUUCUUGUUUGUACAUCGUUAUUCUAUAUUCUAUCUAACGCCUAUUUUGUAGCUGCUGCGCAGCUACUUAUUUACGUAGGAGCUAUAAAUGUUUUAAUCAUUUUUGCUGUGAUGUUCAUGAAUGGCUCAGAAUAUUACAAGGAUUUUCAUCUUUGGACCGUAGGAGAUGGAAUUACUUCGAUGGUUUGUAUAAGUCUUUUUAUUUCACUAAUUACUACUAUUUCAGAUACGUCAUGGUACGGGAUUAUUUGGACUACAAGAUCAAACCAGAUUAUAGAGCAAGAUUUUCUAAGUAAUAGUCAACAAAUUGGAAUUCAUUUAUCAACAGAUUUUUUUCUCCCAUUUGAACUUAUUUCCAUAAUCCUUUUAGUUGCUUUAAUAGGUGCAAUUGCUGUAGCUCGUCAAUAAAAAAUUUCUAUUAAAACUUGGAAUUCAAAUAAAAUUUUGUUCUGUCUUAUCACAUUAAUUUUCCUUCAAUUCUAUUUGAAUUCUAGCUGGAUAAAUAGAAAGACUUUAGGUCAAUCUAGUAACAAUAUAUUUCUUUGUUCCAUACUUGUUAUAUACUAGUCAAUUAAGUUAGUUGAAUUGUUGUUCAUAUUGAAAGGAGUCGGGAUUGAUAAGGAGUUGUUUAAUGAUUCUCGAACAUGUACUUGUUUUGAGUGCCUAUUUAUUUUCCAUCGGUAUCUAUGGAUUGAUCACAAGUCGAAAUAUGGUUAGAGCCCUUAUGUGUCUUGAACUUAUAUUGAAUGCAGUUAAUAUCAAUUUUGUAACAUUUUCUGAUUUUUUUGAUAAUCGUCAAUUAAAGGGAGACAUUUUCUCAAUUUUUGUUAUAGCUAUUGCAGCCGCUGAAGCAGCCAUUGGCCUGGCUAUUGUUUCAUCAAUUUACCGUAACAGAAAAUCAACUCGUAUCAACCAAUCAAAUUUGUUGAAUAAUUAAUAUUAAUCAUCUAGAUUCUAAUAUUGAGAAAUCUAUUUUAAUUAGCAUGUUUACUACGUAAAGUAUGAUCUUGUUUGCAAAACAUAAGAAAUCAAAGUAUUUUGGCCUCUCUCAUAUCUCAUAAACCAAUCCAGAAAGGGGUUGAUUAGAAAAUUAUGAUAACUCAUUGAUUCAUCUGGUAUCUAAAUAUACGAUUCGUUUCUAAGUUUACUAGAUCGAAAAUUUAGAACAUUCAAAAACGUAUAGGCCCAAUGUCACAUUCAGUAAAGAUUUAUGAUACGUGUAUAGGAUGUACUCAAUGUGUCCGAGCCUGCCCCACUGAUGUAUUAGAAAUGAUACCUUGGGACGGUUGUAAGGCUAAACAAAUUGCUUCUGCUCCACGAACAGAGGACUGUGUUGGUUGUAAGAGAUGUGAAUCCGCCUGUCCAACAGAUUUCUUGAGUGUCCGAGUUUAUUUAUGGCAUGAAACAACUCGCAGUAUGGGUCUAGCUUAUUGAUACGUUCGAGAAAACUCUACUUGAAUCCAUUUAAUUUUUUUACCGACAAACCUGUGCUCGAAAAUAAAAAUAUUUUGAGCACGGGUUUUUUUGGUCCAAGUGUAUCUUGUCUUUACUACGAAUUAUUUUCCUUGGUUAACAAUAAUUGUCGUUUUUCCGAUAUUUGCGGGUUCUUUAAUUUUCUUUCUUCCCCAUAAAGGAAAUAGGGUAAUUAGGUGGUAUACAAUAUGUAUAUGUAUUUUAGAACUCCUUCUAACAACUUAUGCAUUUUGUUAUCAUUUCCAAUCGGAUGAUCCAUUAAUCCAACUAGUAGAGGAUUAUAAAUGGAUCGAUUUUUUUGAUUUCCAUUGGAGAUUAGGAAUAGAUGGACUUUCUAUAGGACCCAUUUUAUUAACAGGAUUUAUCACUACUUUAGCGACUUUAGCGGCUUGGCCAGUUACUCGAGAUUCUAGAUUAUUCCAUUUUCUCAUGUUAGCAAUGUACAGUGGUCAAAUUGGAUUAUUUUCGUCUCGGGACCUUUUACUUUUUUUCAUCAUGUGGGAGUUAGAAUUAAUUCCUGUUUAUCUACUUCUAGCCAUGUGGGGAGGAAAGAAACGUCUGUACUCAGCUACAAAAUUUAUUUUGUACACGGCGGGGGGUUCCGUUUUUCUCUUAAUGGGAGUUUUGGGUGUUGCUUUAUAUGGUUCUAAUGAACCAACAUUAAAUUUUGAAACAUCAGUUAAUCAGUCAUAUCCUGUGGUUUUAGAAAUAAUCUUCUAUAUUGGAUUUUUUAUUGCUUUUGCUGUCAAAUCGCCCAUUAUCCCCCUACACACAUGGUUACCAGAUACCCAUGGAGAAGCACAUUACAGUACUUGUAUGCUUCUAGCCGGAAUCUUAUUAAAAAUGGGAGCGUAUGGAUUAAUUCGAAUCAAUAUGGAAUUAUUACCUCAUGCCCAUUCUAUAUUUUCUCCUUGGUUGAUGAUAAUAGGUACAAUACAAAUAAUCUAUGCAGCUUCAACAUCUCUUGGCCAACGGAAUUUAAAAAAAAGAAUAGCCUAUUCCUCUGUCUCUCAUAUGGGUUUCAUAAUUAUAGGAAUUAGUUCUCUAACCGAUACGGGACUAAAUGGAGCCCUUUUACAAAUAAUCUCUCAUGGAUUUAUUGGUGCUGCACUUUUUUUCUUGGCGGGAACGACUUAUGAUAGAAUCCGCCUUGUUUAUCUUGACGAAAUGGGCGGAAUAGCUAUUCCAAUGCCAAAAAUGUUCACGAUGUUCAGUAGCUUUUCGAUGGCUUCCCUUGCAUUACCAGGUAUGAGUGGUUUUGUUGCCGAAUUGAUAGUAUUUUUUGGAAUAAUUACCGGCCAAAAAUAUCUUUUAAUGCCAAAACUACUAAUUACUUUUGUAAUGGCAAUUGGAAUUAUAUUAACUCCUAUUUAUUCAUUAUCUAUGCCACGCCAGAUGUUCUAUGGAUACAAGUUAUUUAACGCCCCGAAGGAUUCUUUUUUUGAUUCUGGACCGCGAGAGUUAUUUCUUUCGAUCUCCAUCUUUUUACCCGUAAUAGGUAUUGGUAUAUACCCCGAUUUCGUUCUUUCAUUAGCAGUUGACAAGGUCGAAGUUAUUCUAUCUAAUUUUUUUAUAGAUAAUUGGAUGACUGAAAUAAAAAAACCUAUGUUUGUUUUUAAAAACAUUCUUGGACAAUGAAAAAAAGUCUUCUUUUUUCUUCUCUUUUAACUUAAGAAUUAAGUAAAAACAAUGAAAUUGAACUACAUAUGGUAGAAAACCGUGUGAAUCAUCAAUACAAUAUUUGAUUCACACGGUCCGCAUGCUGGUUCAUACAAUGCGUCGCCCGCUCUUGUAUUUGUAAUAACUUGUCUUGAAUUCAAUUAAAUGUUGAUGGAAAAGAACCAUAACUAUGUAACCCUAUUCCUAAUAGAUUGACCCCAAAAUAGCAUAUCCAAAUUAUAAGAAAACCUAUCGACGCUACAAUUGCAGAAUUUGGACCCCGCAAAUUUCUAUUUGUUCGAGUAUGUAAAUAAAUGGCAAAUACGAUCCAAGUAAUAAAUGCCCAAGUUUCUUUUGGAUCCCAAUUCCAAUAGGAACCCCACGCUUCAUUAGCCCAUACCGCUCCCGAAAGGAUUCCUAUGGUUAAAAAAGUAAAUCCUAAACUAAUAACCCGAUAACUCCAAUAAUCCAAUUGUUGAAUCAAUUGGGACCUGUAAUAAUUUUUAGCACAAAAAAACGAAGUAUUUUCGACAACAUUUUCACCCAAGAAAAAUGACUCGUUUAAAAAAACAUUGCUCUUAGAAAAAAGCUUUCUGUUUUUUCGAAAUGUAAUCACUAGAAGUGCUACUGAUAAUAACGAUCCACAUAAAAGGGCUGCAUAGCCCAAUAUCAUCAUACUUACGUGCAUUAUUAACCACUCAGAUUGAAGAGCAGGUACUAAGAUUCCAGAUUGGUGUAUUUCAGUUAAAAUACCUGAAGUAGCAAAGCCUUGGGUCAAAAUAGCACUUGGUCCAGUUAUUUUACUUAAAAUUAAAACAUUUUUUUUGAAAUAUGGAAUUAUAUGAAUAAGGGAGAAACUCCAUGAAAGGAAAAUUAAUGAUUCAUAUAAAUCGCUUAGUGGGAAAUGUCCUGAAGAAACCCAACGAGUAACUAAUAAUCCUGUUAUACAGAAAAAAGUAACUAUUAUGCCCUUUUCUGACGAAUCGUAUAGUUUUACAAUUUCAUCGACUAAAAAGGUUAUCAAAUGAAUUGUAAUUACAAUUGAAACGAUCGAAAAGGAAAUGUGAGUUAAUAUAUGCUCUAAGGUUGAAAAUAUCAUAAAAAAUCUUAAAAAAGAAGAGUCCCUUAAUUACAUAAUUCUAAAAUGGAAAUCGGGAAUUGAAUUCAUUAUAAGAUCUAUUUAUCCUUUUUAGAAGAUGGUAUGCCGCCACUCGGACUCGAACCGAGAUGCAUUAGCACUGCUUCCUAAGAGCAGCGUGUCUACCGAUUUCACCAUAGCGGCUUGUCUUGAACUCAUAAUAGCCUAUGAAUAAGCAAUCGUCGAGAUUGAGUAAGCUAUUUUAGUUUAGUAAUGAUUCAAAUGGAUCAAUACCAAUAAAAAGUUAUUCAAAUAGGAAUUUGAGGUUGAAGGUUCAUUAUUUUUGAUUUGAGUUUAGAGUCUUAGUUUUUUUUAUUUAACCUGAGUCUUUCCUAU